rnacentral:lncRNA from 1 species
UCAAAAUUUUCAAAAUUCCUUCCACAUCGCAUGGAAUAGAUUGGCUCUAAACUAUGCUCUCAAAAGAUGUUGUGACUGUAGUCAAAUACGCUGCAGUGGUCGUUUUAGUUGUUGCAGGCAUUAGAAUGCUCAGAGGCUAGACUGAUAACCAUGGAAGAGACCAAGAAGAAGAGCAAAUUGGGCUCACUUGUGAAAUUUGGCGUGGUCUGUGCGGCGAUUUACUACGGUUGCAGAUUGGUCAAAAAGUAGCGGGAAAUGAGACCAAACUUGCAAUAUUCAUAAAAAGUGUAUUUCAAAAAUCAGCAAUAUUUAAAACAAUAUAUUUGUGUUAACUAAA